rnacentral:rRNA from 1 species
GAUGAACGCUGGCGGUAUGCCUAACACAUGCAAGUCGUACGAGAGUUUUUUAACUCUAGUGGCGGACGGGUGAGUAACACGUGAGAAUUUGCCUUUAGGAGGGGGAUAACAAUUGGAAACGAAUGCUAAUACCCCAUAUGCUUUUGAGUGAAAUGGAUUUUAUCCGCCUAGAGAGAAGCUCGCGGCUGAUUAGCUUGUUGGUAAGGUAAGAGCUUACCAAGGCGACGAUCAGUAUCUGGUUUGAGAGGGUGGUCCCCCACACUGGUACUGAGACACGGACCAGACUCCUACGGGAGGCAGCAGUGAGGAAUAUUGGACAAUGGGCGCAAGCCUGAUCCAGCCAUGCCGCGUGCAGGAUGACGGUCCUAUGGAUUGUAAACUGCUUUUGUACAGGAAGAAACACUCCCUCGUGAGGGAGCUUGACGGUACUGUAAGAAUAAGGAUCGGCUAACUCCGUG